rnacentral:rRNA from 1 species
UACGUAGGGGGCAAGCGUUGUCCGGAUUUAUUGGGCGUAAGGAGCGUGUAGGCGGCCAUGUAGGUCCGUUGUGAAAACUCGAGGCUCAACCUCGAGACGCCGAUGGAAACCAUGUGGCUAGAGUCCGGAAGAGGAGAGUGGAAUUCCUGGUGUAGCGGUGAAAUGCGCAGAUAUCAGGAGGAACACCGGUGGCGAAGGCGGGUCUCUGGGCCGUAACUGACGCUGAGGAGCGAAAGCGUGGGGAGCGAACAGG